rnacentral:tRNA from 1 species
GCCGACGUAGCUCAAUUGGUAGAGCAGCUGUUUUGUAAACAGCAGGUUCCGGGUUCGAGUCCCGUCGUCGGCUCCA